AAAUUGAAGAGUUUGAUCAUGGCCCAGAUUGAACGCUGGCGGCAGGCCUAACACAUGCAAGUCGAGCGGUAGCACAGAGAGCUUGCUCUCGGGUGACGAGCGGCGGACGGGUGAGUAAUGUCUGGGAAACUGCCUGAUGGAGGGGGAUAACUACUGGAAACGGUAGCUAAUACCGCAUAACGUCGCAAGACCAAAGUGGGGGACCUUCGGGCCUCAUGCCAUCAGAUGUGCCCAGAUGGGAUUAGCUAGUAGGUGGGGUAAUGGCUCACCUAGGCGACGAUCCCUAGCUGGUCUGAGAGGAUGACCAGCCACACUGGAACUGAGACACGGUCCAGACUCCUACGGGAGGCAGCAGUGGGGAAUAUUGCACAAUGGGCGCAAGCCUGAUGCAGCCAUGCCGCGUGUGUGAAGAAGGCCUUCGGGUUGUAAAGCACUUUCAGCGGGGAGGAAGGCGUUAAGGUUAAUAACCUUGGCGAUUGACGUUACCCGCAGAAGAAGCACCGGCUAACUCCGUGCCAGCAGCCGCGGUAAUACGGAGGGUGCAAGCGUUAAUCGGAAUUACUGGGCGUAAAGCGCACGCAGGCGGUCUGUCAAGUCGGAUGUGAAAUCCCCGGGCUCAACCUGGGAACUGCAUUCGAAACUGGCAGGCUAGAGUCUUGUAGAGGGGGGUAGAAUUCCAGGUGUAGCGGUGAAAUGCGUAGAGAUCUGGAGGAAUACCGGUGGCGAAGGCGGCCCCCUGGACAAAGACUGACGCUCAGGUGCGAAAGCGUGGGGAGCAAACAGGAUUAGAUACCCUGGUAGUCCACGCCGUAAACGAUGUCGAUUUGGAGGUUGUGCCCUUGAGGCGUGGCUUCCGGAGCUAACGCGUUAAAUCGACCGCCUGGGGAGUACGGCCGCAAGGUUAAAACUCAAAUGAAUUGACGGGGGCCCGCACAAGCGGUGGAGCAUGUGGUUUAAUUCGAUGCAACGCGAAGAACCUUACCUGGUCUUGACAUCCACAGAACUUUCCAGAGAUGGAUUGGUGCCUUCGGGAACUGUGAGACAGGUGCUGCAUGGCUGUCGUCAGCUCGUGUUGUGAAAUGUUGGGUUAAGUCCCGCAACGAGCGCAACCCUUAUCCUUUGUUGCCAGCGGUUAGGCCGGGAACUCAAAGGAGACUGCCAGUGAUAAACUGGAGGAAGGUGGGGAUGACGUCAAGUCAUCAUGGCCCUUACGACCAGGGCUACACACGUGCUACAAUGGCAUAUACAAAGAGAAGCGACCUCGCGAGAGCAAGCGGACCUCAUAAAGUAUGUCGUAGUCCGGAUUGGAGUCUGCAACUCGACUCCAUGAAGUCGGAAUCGCUAGUAAUCGUAGAUCAGAAUGCUACGGUGAAUACGUUCCCGGGCCUUGUACACACCGCCCGUCACACCAUGGGAGUGGGUUGCAAAAGAAGUAGGUAGCUUAACCUUCGGGAGGGCGCUUACCACUUUGUGAUUCAUGACUGGGGUGAAGUCGUAACAAGGUAACCGUAGGGGAACCUGCGGUUGGAUCACCUCCUUA
rnacentral:rRNA from 1 species